UGUCAGAGUGUGCAUUUUAUCUUCUUUGUCGGGCGUCACAAAUAAGGCGACAUUUCUUGCAAUGGAAGAUGUGGCAAAAUAGUAGAGCAGGACUUUUUACAUGUUUAUACAUACAUGUAAAGUUACUCUUUCAUGGUUUUCUUGAACAGAGGCGUCAGAAUGUGCUACAUAAUCCAGAACCUC